rnacentral:rRNA from 3 species
UACGAAGGGUGCAAGCGUUACUCGGAAUUACUGGGCGUAAAGCGUGCGUAGGUGGUUCGUUAAGUCUGAUGUGAAAGCCCUGGGCUCAACCUGGGAAUGGCAUUGGAUACUGGCGACCUAGAGUGCGGUAGAGGGGUGUGGAAUUCCCGGUGUAGCAGUGAAAUGCGUAGAUAUCGGGAGGAACAUCUGUGGCGAAGGCGACACCCUGGACCAGCACUGACACUGAGGCACGAAAGCGUGGGGAGCAAACAGG